rnacentral:rRNA from 1 species
AACGAACGCUGGCGGCAUGCCUAACACAUGCAAGUCGAACGAGAUCUUCGGGUCUAGUGGCGCACGGGUGCGUAACGCGUGGGAAUCUGCCCUUUGGUUCGGAAUAACAGUUGGAAACGACUGCUGAUACCGGAUGAUGACGAAAGUCCAAAGAUUUAUCGCCAGAGGAUGAGCCCGCGUAGGAUUAGCUAGUUGGUGUGGUAAAGGCGCACCAAGGCGACGAUCCUCAGCUGGUCUGAGAGGAUGAUCAGCCACACUGGGACUGAGACACGGCCCAGACUCCUACGGGAGGCAGCAGUGGGGAAUAUUGGACAAUGGGCGAAAGCCUGAUCCAGCAAUGCCGCGUGAGUGAUGAAGGCCUUAGGGUUGCAAAGCUCUUUUACCCGGGAUGAUAAUGACAGUACCGGGAGAAUAAGCUCCGGCUAACUCCGUGCCAGCCGCCGCGGUAA